AUGCUCAGGUUUCAGUCCAGCCAGGCCAUGCUCAGGUUUCAGUCCAGCCAGGCCACGCUCAGGGCCCAGCUCAGCCAUGCCACGCUCAGGGCCCAGCUCAGCCAUGCCACGCUCAGGGCCCAGCUCAGCCAUGCCACGCUCAGGGCCCAGCUCAGCCAUGCCACGCUCAGGGCCCAGCUCAGCCAUGCCACGCCCAGGUCCCAGCCCAGUCGAGUCAGGUCCCAGCCCAGUCGAGUCAGGUCCCAGCCCAGUCGAGUCACGCUCAGGCUCCGGCCUUGUCCCAGCCAGGGGACACCACCCGUCAGACAAGUGCUAUUCAUACCCGGUCAGGCCCAACGUCUACUCCGUCGAGCUCGGCAGCUGCAAGCAGCCAUGCUGGCUCCAGAGAGGACGCUGUCCCAAUCCCUGUUGGCUCCAGUGAGGAGACCAAGAGCAGCACUGCCGGCCCCAGUGAGGAGGCAGCGAGCAGCACUGCCGGCCCCAGUGAGGUGGCAGCGAGCAUCAAUGCCGGCCCCAGUGAAGAGGCAGCGAGCAGCACUGCCACUAGUUCCUGUUCCCGUCGGCUCCUGUGAGGACGCCAUUCUAGUUCCUGUUCCUGUCGGCUCCUGUGAGGACGCCGUUCUAGUUCCCGUCGGCUCCUGUGAGGACGCCGGUAUAGUUCCUGUCGGCUCCUGUGAGGACGCCGUUCUAGCUUCAGUUCCUGUCGGCUCCUGUGAGGACGCCGUUCUAGUCCCAGUACCCGUCGGCUCCUGUAGGGACACCGUUCUGAAUCCCGUUCCUGUCCCUAGCGCAGUUUCUGCCGCGGUUCCCCACGACCUACAGGAGGAGGUCGCGCCUGCCACGGUUCUCCACGACCUCCAGGAGGAGGUUGCGCCUGCCGCAGUCCCUGCCACGGUUCCCCACGACCUCCAGGAGGGGGUCGUUCCUGUUGCAGCUUCCACUGCAGUUCCUGUCGGCCUCCAGGAGGAGGUCGUUCCUGCUGCAGUUCCUGGUGGUCCUGCAGAGACUUUUGUUGUUGUUCCUUUGUGCACAGGAGCCGUUCAGGGAGGUGCCGGAGGUUCCCGCGGAGCAUCGGCCCCUGGUGAUCCGGCCACGUGCGCCUCUACAUCUGGUGGCCCGGCCCCAGCCACGCUCGUCUCAGCUCCUGGUGGCCCGGCCCCGGCCACGCUCGUCUCAGCUCCUGGUGGCCCGGCCCCGGCCACGCUCGUCUCAGCUCCUGGUGGUCCGGCUCCGGCCGCGCCUGCAUCGGUUCCUGGUGGUCCGGCUCCGGCCACACCUCUGGUUCCGGCCUUGUCUCCACGUCUGUCCUCGUCUCUGGUUCCGGCCUCGUCUCUGGUCCCAGCUCUGGCUCGUCUGCCGGACUGGUGGCCUAGCCCUCGUCACCUCCUGCCGUUUGGGUGGCGCUGCCUCCUGUGGCGCCGUCCGCCUUGGCUCCGCCUCGGUCCCUCCUCCUGA
rnacentral:lncRNA from 1 species